AGACGGGGCCCGCACAAGCGGUGGAGCAUGUGGUUUAAUUCGACGCAACGCGAAGAACCUUACCAGGACUUGACAUCCCCUGACAACCUAUGAAAGUAGGUCUUCUGCCUUCGGGUAGACAGGGAGACAGGUGGUGCAUGGUUGUCGUCAGCUCGUGUCGUGAGAUGUUGGGUUAAGUCCCGCAACGAGCGCAACCCUUACGGUUAGUUGCCAGCGGUUAAAGCCGGGCACUCUAGCUGAACUGCCGUUGACAAAACGGAGGAAGGUGGGGAUGACGUCAAAUCAUCAUGCCCUUUAUGUCCUGGGCUACACACGUGCUACAAUGGCCUGUCCAGAGGGCAGCGAAGGGGCAACCUGGAGCGAAUCCCAAAAAGCAGGUCUCAGUUCGGAUUGCAGGCUGCAACUCGCCUGCAUGAAGUCGGAAUCGCUAGUAAUCGCAGGUCAGCAUACUGCGGUCGAAUACGUUCCCGGGCCUU
rnacentral:rRNA from 1 species